rnacentral:tRNA from 1 species
ACACCGAGAAGACAUCCGUGCAAAUUGGAUCGCCCUGA